GUUUCAGCAGCCGCGGUAAGACAGAGGGUGCGAACGUUGUUCGGAAUUACUGGGCGUAAAGAGCGUGUAGGCGGCUCUGCAAGUCGGGCGUGAAAUCCCACGGCUCAACCGUGGAAGUGCACUCGAAACUGCAGAGCUAGAGUCCUGGAGAGGAAGGUGGAAUGCUUGGUGUAGAGGUGAAAUUCGUAGAUAUCAAGCGGAACACCGGUGGCGAAGGCGGCCUUCUGGACAGUGACUGACGCUUAAGCGCGAAAGCGUGGGGAGCAAACAGGAUUAGAAACCCCGGUAGUCC
rnacentral:rRNA from 1 species